AUACUUACCUGGACGGGGUCAGCGGGCGAUCAUGAAGGCCCAUGGCGUAGGUUGGUGACCUCCAUUGCACUUUGGAGGGGUGCCUGCCUAAGGUCGGCCCAAGUGGUCGAGCCUACGUCAUAAUCUGUGGCAGCGGGGGCCUGCGUUUGCGCGGCCCCUAC
rnacentral:snRNA from 1 species